rnacentral:rRNA from 1 species
AUUGAACGCUGGCGGCAUGCCUUACACAUGCAAGUCGAACGGCAGCGCGGGAGCAAUCCUGGCGGCGAGUGGCGAACGGGUGAGUAAUAUAUCGGAACGUGCCCAGUAGUGGGGGAUAGCCCGGCGAAAGCCGGAUUAAUACCGCAUGAGACCUGAGGGUGAAAGCGGGGGAUCGCAAGACCUCGCGCUACUGGAGCGGCCGAUAUCAGAUUAGCUAGUUGGUGGGGUAAAGGCCUACCAAGGCAACGAUCUGUAGUUGGUCUGAGAGGACGACCAGCCACACUGGGACUGAGACACGGCCCAGACUCCUACGGGAGGCAGCAGUGGGGAAUUUUGGACAAUGGGCGCAAGCCUGAUCCAGCAAUGCCGCGUGCAGGAAGAAGGCCUCGGUUGGUU